GUAGUUGGAGGUUGGUGGACCUCGCAAUCGAACAGGGGGAAUAAGCGUUUCCCUUUCUAAUCCUAAUGGUCAUGUCAUUGGUGGUGCUGUGGCAGUGCUGAUUGCAGCAACUCCAGUGCAGGUUGUGCUUUGCAGUUUCGUAUAUGGUGGCUCCAAGACCAAGAACAAGCAACUGGCUGAUCCCAAUAGCGAUGAGAAUUCCGAGGCACAGCAUAGCGAGAAAUUGGGUCUACCAAGCAGUGCCCCACCAACUCAAAAUUAUAAUCCCUCCGGAGCAGGCAUUUGGCCUGGCUCGCGGCAAGUUGAUUUGAGAAAUGCCCACACCGGUAUUGACUUGACUCGAGGGUGAAGAUAAGCUGCAACAGACACAUGCCAGUUUUGUAUAUAUGUGUUGUUGUAAAUGAACUGAAUCUGUGAUGCAACUCUCCGACCCUUGUUCACCCACUGGUGGGUAAACAAGUUUGUGCUAACAUAAUCUGUAACAAAAUCCGUAACUCAGGGGGAUGUUUUGGGUGACAUAAUUCACUCGUUGAGGAAGUUUCAAGUAGUGUGGAGGUUAAAAUACUCAUCAGUAGCAAGAAGUUCUUUUGGCUUUUAGGUGGAAACUUCCUAUUUGAAUCAAAAGUCCUUUUGAAGUUUGUAACCGAUUCAAAAAUGACAAUUUGCAGAAUUGUAUGCUGCAUAUGCAUGGAUGAAUGAGUCUCUCUUUCA